rnacentral:rRNA from 1 species
GGUUGAUCCUGCCAGUAGUCAUAUGCUUGUCUCAAAGAUUAAGCCAUGCAUGUCUAAGUAUAAACUGCUUUAUACUGCGAAACUGCGAAUGGCUCAUUAAAUCAGUUAUAGUUUAUUUGAUGGUACUUACUACUCGGAUAACCGUAGUAAUUCUAGAGCUAAUACGUGCGCACAUCCCGACUUCUGGAAGGGACGUAUUUAUUAGAUAAAAGGCCAGCCGGGCUUGCCCGACUUUAGGUGAAUCAUGAUAACUCCACGAAUCGCAUGGCCUCGUGCCGGCGAUAUUUCAUUCA